CUUUGAUGUCAGGGGAAAAGGUUAUAUUCCAUUGUUACUUUGAUGUCAGAGGAAAAUGUUAUAUUCCAUUGUUACUUUGUGAUGUCAGAGGAAAAGGUUAUAUUCCAUUGUUACUUUGAUGUCAGAGGAAAAGGUUAUAUUCCAUUGUUACUUUGUGAUGUCAGAGGAAAAGGUUAUAUUCCAUUGUUACUUUGAUGUCAGGGGAAAAUGUUAUAUUCCAUUGUUACUUUGAUGUCAGAGGAAAAGGUUAUAUUCCAUUGUUACUUUGUGAUGUCAGGGGAAAAGGUUAUAUUCCAUUGUUACUUUGAUGUCAGGGGAAAAGGUUAUAUUCCAUUGUUACUUUGAUGUCAGGGGAAAAGGUUAUAUUCCAUUGUUACUUUGUGAUGUCAGGGGAAAAGGUUAUAUUCCAUUGUUACUUUGAUGUCAGGGGAAAAGGUUAUAUUCCAUUAUUACUUUGUGAUGUCAGGGGAAAAGGUUAUAUUCCAUUGUUACUUUGAUGUCAGGGGAAAAGGUUAUAUUCCAUUGUUACUUUGAUGUCAGGGGAAAAGGUUAUAUUCCAUUGUUACUUUGAUGUCAGGGGAAAAGGUUAUAUUCCAUUGUUACUUUGAUGUCAGGGGAAAAGGUUAUAUUCCAUUGUUACUUUGAUGUCAGAGGAAAAGGUUAUAUUCCAUUGUUACUUUGUGAUGUCAGAGGAUAAGGUUAUAUUCCAUUGUUACUUUGUGAUGUCAGAGGAAAAGGUUAUAUUCCAUUAUUACUUUGUGAUGUCAGAGGAAAAGGUUAUAUUCCAUUGUUACUUUGUGAUGUCAGAGGAAAAGGUUAUAUUCCAUUAUUACUUUGUGAUGUCAGAGGAAAAGGUUAUAUUCCAUUAUUACUUUGUGAUGUCAGAGGAAAAGGUUAUAUUCCAUUGUUACUUUGAUGUCAGGGGAAAAGGUUAUAUUCCAUUGUUACUUUGUGAUGUCAGAGGAUAAGGUUAUAUUCCAUUGUUACUUUGUGAUGUCAGAGGAAAAGGUUAUAUUCCAUUAUUACUUUGUGAUGUCAGAGGAAAAGGUUAUAUUCCAUUGUUACUUUGUGAUGUCAGAGGAAAAGUAAAGGUCAUGUCUGCUUGUUUAAUGCUACAGUCUCAGAUAGCAUUUUAGAUACUGUUCAAUAUCUAGUUCUUUGUACAUGAUGAAGUGCACCCACAGAGGAAAUACAGUCAGUGGCUCGGGUUGCUGUUGUGAUUUCAGGUGUGUGUGUGUGGUUGCCGUGGUUACAGCUGCUAGACGGCAGGCCCUGCCUAUUCCUGUUGGUGUUCCUGUGGCCCUUCUCUCAUGCUGUCAAUCUGACUGAUGGUCCCGCCUCCUAGACAGAUUGACUGACAUGUAGUUGGCCAAGCACAUCGUUCUGACAGAUGGCACCGCCUUCUAGACAGAAUGACUGAUGUGUGGUUGACUGAGCACGUCGUUCUGACAGAUAGCCCCGCCUUCUAGACAGAAUGACUGACGUGGUUGGCUGGGCCUGUUGUUUACUUUAGUCAUCUCAGCUCAGGUGGAGUUUAGCUGUUUGGACUUAUUUCUGGAGACCUGAGAUUAGAAGGGCUCUUACAGACAACACAUUUUAAGCACUGCUUCCCUCUCAUAUGCAAAACACUCUGUCAGAAAUCAGCCGCCCAAAACUCCCUGUAGCGCGUAUAGCCGCCCGCUGUGGUUAGAAAGACAGUCUGAAAGAAGGACCUGAAACAUGAAGGGGGAAAACAUCUGAAAAUGAGAGAGAAAAAAGUAACUGUCACAUUGAAGCGGAUGUGAAUCAGUUAGUUGAUCUUUCCUCUCACUUCCUCUCUGAAAUACACACCUCUGCCUCUCUGUCUGCCCGUCUAUCUCUGUCUGCCUAUCUCUUCCCUCCUGUUUAUUUCUGUCUGCCUGUUUUAUCCCUGUCUGCCUGUUUUAUCCCUGUCUGCCUGUUUUAUCCCUGUCUGCCUGUUUUAUCCCUGUCUGCCUGUUUUAUCCCUGUCUGCCUGUUUAUCUCUGUUUGCAUGCGCUGUCUACCUCUGUCUGAGCCAUAAGGGACAAAUCAAAUUUUAUUGGUCGCAUACACAUGUUUAGCAGAUGUUAUUGCGGGUGUAGUGAAAUGCUUGUGUUCCCAGCUCCAACAGUGCAAUAAUAUCUAACAAUGCACAACAAUACACACAGAUCUAAAGGUAAAAGAGUGGAAUUAAGAAAUCUAGAAAUAAUAGGACGAGCAAUGUCGGGAGUCCAGAGUAUAAAUAUAUAUAUACAGUACCAACUAGUCAAAGGUUUGGACCCGCCUACUUACUCCAGGGUUUUUCUUUAUUUUUACUAUGUUCUACAUUGUAGAAUAAUAGUGAAGACAUCAAAACUAUAAAAUAGCACAUAUGGAAUCAUGUAGUAACCAAAAAAGUUUUAAACAAAUUGAAAUAUAUUUUAUUUGAGAUAUGCACUUGGUCUUUUACCAAAUGGGGCUAUCUAAUGUGUACCACCCCUACCUUGUCACAACACAACUGAUUGGCUCAAACGCAUUAAGAAGGAAAGAAAUUCCACAAAUGCACUUUUAACAAGGCACACCUGAUAAUUGACAUGCCUUCCAGGCGACUACCUCAUGAAGCUGGUUGAGAGAAUGCCAAGAGUGUGCAAAGCUGUACGUCAAGGCAAAGGGUGGCUACAUUGAAGAAUCUCAAACAUAAAAUGUAUUUUGAUUUGUUUAACACUUUUGGUUACUACAUGUGUGCUAUUUCAUAGUUUUGAUGUCUUCACUAUUAUUCUACAAUGUAGAAAAUAACAAAAAUAAAGCAAAACCCUGGAAUGAGUAGGUGUGAUGGGAUUUAUAGACAUUAUGGACAGCAUAUUGAUAGAAUAUAUAGUGUGCCUGCAGAAUACAUAGGAUAUAAUAGUGUAUGCACAGGGAUGAGAGAACUAACAUGUUAAUGUCACGCCCUGACCUGAGUAUCCUUUGUUUUCUUUAUGUAUUUUGGUUAGGUCAGGGUGUGACGAGGGUGGUAUGAGUGUUUUUGUCUCAUCUAGGGUGUUUGUACUGUCUAGCGGUUUUUGUAGAUUUAUGGGGUUGUUUCCAUCUAGGUGUUUGUGUAGGUCUAUGGUUGCCUAGAUUGGUUCUCAAUUACAGGCAGCUGUUUAUCGUUGUCUCUGAUUGGGAACCAUAUUUAGGCAGCCAUCUUUGGGUAUUUGGUGGGUUAUUGUCUAUUGGUUCUUGUUGUACGUUAGCACAUUGCGGUCACGUUCGUCUUAUUCGUUUUGUUGUUUUUGUUUAAGUGUUCUUCGUUUCUUCAUUAAUAAAGAAGGAUAUAUUCUAACUACGCUGCGCUUUGGUCUACUCCAUACGACGAUCGUGACAGUUAAACUUGUUACCCUG